AAACCUGAACUUAAAGAAUCACCCCUCCCCCCAGCUGAUGCCAAUUAGGUGGCACAUCUCAGGUGGUGAUGGUUGGGAUUGGACUGCGUGUGAACUGCUCUGCUUUGGGUGCCCUGCACUGGGGCAGUGCUCCUUGCUCCUCACUCCCAUUGGGACCCCACUGCUCUGCUCCAGCAGGAUGACCACGGCUGGCCGGGGUUUCCCCCAGAGUUUCAGCUAUGAAUGGUUGAGCACUUUACAACUCCAUUUCUGCCACGAGGCUCUAGAAGGGCUUUGGAUGUGAUGCAUAACGUCUUUCCAAGCAGCAGAAGGUGGGUUUGUGCUGCUCCAGCUUCUCCUGCAGAGAGGAGAAACGUCCCUGAGCUGGAGGACACAUGAAGUCCCAAAGCCUGGCAGUGGCACCUGGGGAUUUGCUGCUCCAGAUACAAUGCAGCACCAUUCUGACAUCAGCAGAAAUGUGCUAACACUGCCAAUGGUUUCCUGGAAAGACCCAGAAGUAAGCAACGCUGGGGGCAUACGCUGUCCUCCUUUGCUUUAGUGGUGUAUGUUUCUGGAGAGCUGGGAAUGACUGCACGCAGGAAGCUGGGAAGACAGCAGGACAGCGCUGCCCCAUCCUUUCUGUACCCCGGCGCACAGACCCAGCACAGCCAGCUGCCCCUGCGGACAGGCUGAGAGAUGAGAGGGCUUUUUUUUUCCCCUGAUGACUGCCCUCCCUGUGAUCUUAGCCUCUAUUUGUAACAGCAGCAGAUCCAUGUCCGCAGACAAAAUCUGCUUUUCAAGCGACGAUGUCCCUUUUUAUAACAAAUGCUGCCAGCUCCUAGAAGUGAUAGCUCACCAUCGGCAAAAGGACACUGGGAUGCUCUCCGAGAUGCCGUGCCGAAUAGAUCUUCCACUGUACAGCAACAAAUCAAAUUUAGGGAGAAAGAAUUUGAAAACAAAUUACCAGUGAGAUAUUUCAAGCUGACAGCAAUUUGGAGCAACUUAGGUCUGUCUGAAAAGCCUCAGUACACUUAAGCUGAUAACUCCCCCUUUGAUCACAUUUUGGUGGCAAUACUUGUCAUUGAUGGCAGCACGUCUCCCUUUGGAGGAAGUUCCGAUGUGUGGCAGUGGAAUUUCCAGCUCAGAGAGGAGAGAGACCUUUGGAUUCACCCUGGAGAUUUUCAAGACCCAACUGGAUACCUUCCCCUGCAGCCUACAGUAGUGAACCUGCUUGGCAAGGAGCUUGCUAUGUAACCUCCAGAUGUCCCUUCCGCCCCCUGUGGUUCUGUGAUCCUGUAACUCAGGCACUGGGAAUGGUGGCACACGAGCUUGGGCUUUGCCCACCUCGUGGUCAGCACUUGGCAUGAUGACCUUCAAGGUCUUCCCCAAUCUAAACAACUCUGUGAUUCUCCUUAUUUGAGAACAGCACCAAUUUGCUCUGUUUCCCUGCAACACCAUGAAGGCCACUUGUACCUAUUUCCAUCUGCACAGGGGAGGGACGUGUUUCACCAACAACCCAUUGCUACCAUGUUGAGCCCCCUGUGAAUGAGCAGGGUGCUUUAAUCACGGAGGGAGGCACGUCAGCAGCUCCAUCAGAGAGCAGAGAGGAAGGGUGGUGAGGAAUGUGGCGGGGUGGAAGGGAAUGCGGCAGUGCUGACAUGCCCCGAGCAGCACAGACAUAAAAGGAGUGCACUAGUCUGUAAUUUGCCUGCAAUUUCUCCUCGGGAAGCAAUGAAAUUUUACGACUAGCCCUGUCCAUGCCCAUGUAUUUCUUCCAGAAAGAGGCAGAUAAAAAUAGGCUGGAACUGCACUGAGAAAAAGAGAACGUUGACAUCCUUUGAAAUCUCCUUGCAGCCAACAGAUGCCAGCCCGGUUUGGCCAAGCACUUACCAGGGGUGUCGGGGGGGCUGAGCAAUGGUUGGGUCCCCCUGUGCAAGGAUGGCUCAUUGGCACAGACCUCUCUGCCUGGAGAAGCGGGCCAAGACGGGUGGUGUGUUCAGCCUUGUGUCCAGCAUGGGGGAAUAAGGUGUUGAUUGGGAAGGAGAGGAGCCUUGAGCCAACAGUGUUGGUUAUCUUGGGGUCCUCUCACACCCUAAAUUAAAACCGCACAGUACUUGUACUGCACUGCUUCCCACCAGGAUAAAGAAAGCAGUCUACAAUGCUUAUUUAUUCAAGUGGUGCCUUAGAAACUAAAAUCUUCUAUUCUCCACGGAUCUGAAGCGCUCAGUGAUAUAACAGAGGCUCUAUUUAAAAUUAAGCAUUCUCUCCCCAUGCCCUUGGCUGAGCUUUGCUGCCCUGCACAGUCCCACCUCUCUGGGAGCCACGUUUCCGCGGUGCUGCGUGCUCUUAAGUCCUCGCAGCGUUUUAGGAUCUUCCCAGAUGGAAAGUGCUAUAGAAAUGUAAAACUUUAUUAAUUAAAGGCUG
rnacentral:lncRNA from 7 species